UCAUCUGAUCCAGAUCUGUUGUUGAAGCACUCUUGAAGAGCAUUGUAUUGAGCAAAUGCUUGCUGUGAGAGAGGUCUAUGGAAGUGUUGACUGAUAUAUGUAUGCUCCAGUUCCUUUUGCAAUGUUAAGUCAGUAUCAAUUGCAUAGGAGGGUAGCUCUGGAUAUUGGUCAUUGAGUGGUAGUCCAUUCCAAUUAUCAUACCAGAAUUUUACACUGCCCACUCUUCUUGCUUUGCAUAUAGCCUGUUGUUUGAAUAUAGA
rnacentral:lncRNA from 1 species